rnacentral:rRNA from 1 species
GCAUGACUACAACAUAGCGUUAAUGCACCGGAUCCCAUUAGAACUUCGCAGUUAAGCGUGUUCAGGCUAGAGUAGUACUGGGAUGGGUUACCGCCCAGGAAGACCUAGUGUUUUACAUGCC